rnacentral:siRNA from 1 species
GUGAAAACUAGGUUUGGGCACGAA